rnacentral:lncRNA from 1 species
GAGACUGACACAUGAAUCAUGGCUGUUUAAUUACACAGUCUGUCAAGUCAAGUGUUUUCUUCUGUAACAAAAAAUAGAGAGCUAGAGGGGGUAUAGAGGAGGGUGACAUGUGAAUCAUGGCCGUUUAAUUACACAGUCUGUCAAGUCAAGUGUUUGCUUCUGUAACAAGAAAUAGAGGGGGUAUAGAGGAGAUUGACACAUGAAGUUCUGAUC